rnacentral:rRNA from 1 species
AUUGAACGCUUGCGGCAGGCCUAACACAUGCAAGUCGAGCGGCAGCACAGAGAGCUUGCUCUCGGGUGACGAGCGGCGGACGGGUGAGUAAUGUCUGGGAAACUGCCUGAUGGAGGGGGAUAACUACUGGAAACGGUAGCUAAUACCGCAUAACGUCGCAAGACCAAAGUGGGGGACCUUCGGGCCUCAUGCCAUCAGAUGUGCCCAGAUGGGAUUAGCUAGUAGGUGGGGUAACGGCUCACCUAGGCGACGAUCCCUAGCUGGUCUGAGAGGAUGACCAGCCACACUGGAACUGAGACACGGUCCAGACUCCUACGGGAGGCAGCAGUGGGGAAUAUUGCACAAUGGGCGCAAGCCUGAUGCAGCCAUGCCGCGUGUGUGAAGAAGGCCUUCGGGUUGUAGAGCACUUUCAGCGGGGAGGAAGGCGGUGAGGUUAAUAACCUCAUCGAUUGACGUUACCCGCAGAAGAAGCACCGGCUAACUCCGUGCCAGCAGCCGCGGUAAUACGGAGGGUGCAAGCGUUAAUCGGAAUUACUGGGCGUAAAGCGCACGCAGGCGGUCUGUCAAGUCGGAUGUGAAAUCCCCGGGCUCAACCUGGGAACUGCAUUCGAAACUGGCAGGCUAGAGUCUUGUAGAGGGGGGUAGAAUUCCAGGUGUAGCGGUGAAAUGCGUAGAGAUCUGGAGGAAUACCGGUGGCGAAGGCGGCCCCCUGGACAAAGACUGACGCUCAGGUGCGAAAGCGUGGGGAGCAAACAGGAUUAGAUACCCUGGUAGUCCACGCCGUAAACGAUGUCGAUUUGGAGGUUGUGCCCUUGAGGCGUGGCUUCCGGAGCUAACGCGUUAAAUCGACCGCCUGGGGAGUACGGCCGCAAGGUUAAAACUCAAAUGAAUUGACGGGGGCCCGCACAAGCGGUGGAGCAUGUGGUUUAAUUCGAUGCAACGCGAAGAACCUUACCUGGUCUUGACAUCCACAGAACUUUCCAGAGAUGGAUUGGUGCCUUCGGGAACUGUGAGACAGGUGCUGCAUGGCUGUCGUCAGCUCGUGUUGUGAAAUGUUGGGUUAAGUCCCGCAACGAGCGCAACCCUUAUCCUUUGUUGCCAGCGGUCCGGCCGGGAACUCAAAGGAGACUGCCAGUGAUAAACUGGAGGAAGGUGGGGAUGACGUCAAGUCAUCAUGGCCCUUACGACCAGGGCUACACACGUGCUACAAUGGCAUAUACAAAGAGAAGCGACCUCGCGAGAGCAAGCGGACCUCAUAAAGUAUGUCGUAGUCCGGAUUGGAGUCUGCAACUCGACUCCAUGAAGUCGGAAUCGCUAGUAAUCGUAGAUCAGAAUGCUACGGUGAAUACGUUCCCGGGCAU